NNNNNNNNNNNNNNNNNNNNNNNNNNNNNNCUUGGGCCCCCAACGCCAUCCGCGAGGUCCCCGCGCCGUCACCGUCUCCCUGCAUUUCACCAUGUCUCUGCCCGGCAACUUGUCACCGUCCCCAUCGCCGUGUCCUGUCCUUGCGCCCCAUCGCUGGCCCUGUCACCGCGUCCCUUUCCCAGGUCUCGUCACCCUCCCCGUCACAGUGUCCCAUCCGGGGGCUUGUCACUGUGGCCGUGUCCCCGCUGCUGUCCCCACCUCCUGUCCCCACUCCCCAUCGCGUCUCUGCAUGCCCUCCCCGCGUCCCCCGGCGAGGCGCUGACGGGGCGCCGCUGUCCCCGCGCCCGCAGACGACGGCCAUCGAGGGCCAGGACGAGGACCUGGGGCAGGAGGAGGUGGUGCAGCAGUGCAUGCGCAACCAGGCCUGGCUCGAGCGCCUCUUCGACUCCUUCAGCGACCUCCUCACGCAGGCCCAGACCAAGUGCGCGUGACCCGGGGACGGGGACGUCCCCCUCCCCGCGACGGGGACACCCUACAGGACAGGGACACUCUCCGGGACGGGGACACUCUCUGGCAUGGGGACACCCUACGGAUGGGGGACGCUCCCUGGCAUGGGGACACCCCCUCGCACGGGGACGUUCUCCAGGACGGGGACACCUCCUGGGACGAGGACGUUCUCCAAGACAGGGACGUUCUCCAAGACGGGGACACCUCCCGGGACGGGGACACCUCCUGGGAUGGGGACGUUCUCCAAGACGGGGACACGUCCUGGGACAGGGACGUUCUCCAAGACGGGGACACCCCUGGGGACGGAGAAACCUCCCGGGACGGGGACAUCUCCUGGGAUGGGGACGUUCUCCAAGGCGGGGACGUGUCCCGGGAUGGGGACACCUCCCAGGAUGGGGACAUCUCCUGGGAUGGGGACGUUCUCCAAGGCGGGGACGUGUCCCGGGAUGGGGACACCUCCCAGGAUGGGGACAUCUCCUGGGAUGGGGACGUUCUCCAAGGCGGGGACGUGUCCCGGGAUGGGGACACCUCCCAGGAUGGGG
rnacentral:lncRNA from 1 species